UGCCGUUCGUUCCUUGCCUGAUGUACGUC
rnacentral:piRNA from 1 species